UGGGAUUUAUGUCUUUGCGGAUCAAACAACACCAUCAUCUUCCACCAUCACGAAUCAGAGCCACAUUCACCUCAUUUACAGGAAGAGUAGUUUAGGUUCUCAUCCAGUGUCCCAAUUGGGUUAGAGCUCAUGAAAUGAAAACCGUGUCCCUUUGUGACAUCCAUCUCCGGAUAAGAGUCAAUUUCAGCUUACAAAUACCGAGUUAAACCGGGUUGACUGGUAUUAGCAAGUGUCUCAUUUUCUAAAUACUUGAAUAAAGUACGACAAUAUUUUGCAUUCCAUGGCUACUUUCACCCCUUUACAUACAUACUUGUCACUUGGAGAAAGCAUGCUCUACUUACUCCAUGCCCUGUUAUGUUAUGCAACCAAUGUAUGUACGAGGUCACAAAUCACACAGCAAAACGGGUUUCCAUCUUUUCUCCGACAACGCACGUCCUAUAAUUUAUUUCAUGGGUGGAUACAAGAUAGCUUUUCAAAACGGAUUGAACCAGAGAGGAAGAAGCAAUGCUAUCAGAUCAGGCAUCGCCACGGCUAAAAAGUCGACGAGAGAUGCAACUUGAAGUUCUAGCGCCUGCUGCUGCUGUGCUCUUCUAAAUGCCUUCAAACUGUUACUACCAUUACCUAACCUUGUACUUCUUCUUCUUCUCCUCUAAAGGAUGAUGAUGGUGGUGGUGGUUGA